CAGUCGCCACGGUAAUACGUAGGUGGCAAGCGUUGUCCGGAAUUAUUGGGCGUAAAGGGCUCGCAGGCGGUUUCUUAAGUCUGAUGUGGAAGCCCCCGGCUCAACCGGGGAGGGUCAUUGGAAACUGGGAAACUUGAGUGCAGAAGAGGAGAGUGGAAUUCCACGUGUAGCGGUGAAAUGCGUGGAGAUGUGGAGGAACACCAGUGGCGAAGGCGACUCUCUGGUCUGUAACUGACGCUGAGGAGCGAAAGCGUGGGGAGCGAACAGGAUUAGAUACCCGUGUAGUCCCUGUCUCUUAUAC
rnacentral:rRNA from 1 species